UAAUAAAUCAAACAUUGCUGCUGCUGUUUUCAUAACUAUUUAUAUAUAUUAAUUCAUGAACUAGAACAAUAUCAUGAUCUUCUUGUUCUUUUAUAAUUACAAUAGGCCUAAUAAAGGUCCGUCGGCAAAUUAUUAAAACAAUUUUAGUCACAGUUGAAAACAUUGGCACAAUAUGGAUUUCGUUGGUAAUCUUAGCCCACGUACGUGUAGGUGUUUACAAUUUUUUUUAUAAUCUAUAGGAAUAUUACCCUUACUGCAUUAUUUAUCUUGUGGUGUAAAAAAAAUAUUUCCAGGUAAGUAUUCUGUGCAUAAUACAAUCAUUAGGUUGUUUAAUAAUUACUUUAUUAAUUAACACAAUAUAUAUACAUGUAUAUUUGUAAAAACCUGUAUCUAUUCGUGGGAAUAUCUGGUAUCAAUCGUACAAUUUCGUACUCAUUCUUAAGAAUAUCAUAUAAAAAUCGUCUUCCAUCUUGCAUACUAAUAAGAAGAUUACUUGAUCGCCCGAAUUCGUACACGAAUCGCCACUACUCGCCCUGAUAUCACACUGUAGUAAAGUCGUACAAUAUUGAAAAAUGCACUGCCUGUAGAAUUAUUUCAAGACAGGUGAUUUUUAACUUUUUGUUUUGUGGCAAUUAUAGCAUAAAUCGUGACAGUGCAACAGGGGCUUUAGCUGCAGACCUCUUAGAGUUCGAAGUUGCUGUAGAUCUUUCACCUAUAUGGACGUACAUCUUAAUUGCCGUUUUACUCGGUCGCGAUGAAGUUAUCAACGUUCAUGCAUAUUUUUCAAGCCAGGAAAAUACUGAAAUCAAAUAAACAGGUCAAUGCAAUAUUUACGAACAGAAUAUGCAUAUAAAGCAAGAAAAAAUGAACAAAAUGUAAGAUUACGAAAGGAAAAAUGCAGAUGUGCUAGCGAGUGUAACAAAAUCGAAGGUUUUUUACACCUAUUUACGAGCUCUUUUCAGCUUUUAGAUUUAUCCGAGACCAAUGUUUUUCAGGAACAAUGGCACAGAAAAAUCUCAGAUAGUUUUUAUCAAUCUAACUGCUAAAUGGUUUCGAUUUUUGAUAAAGGAAAUGGAGGAUUUUUAAUUCAAAUGAAGUUGUAAUUAGGGGCUUUGUAUUUUUCCGACCAAUUGCAAUCAUGCAUCAUUUACUGUAGCUUAAGAUAUCAAAGAAGAAAAAGAAACAUCUUAUUUUAAGAAAUCUUUUUAUAGAUUGAAUAUCAAUUUAUAUAUUUCAUUGUAAAAAGAAUAUGAUAAAUGAUAAAAAAAAACGUACAGUAAAAAAAUUAAAUAGAGGUUAGAGGAAGUGCAGGCCAUCCAAUAUCCAUUUUUUUUUUGGGGGGGGGGGGGCUUUGUUGGGUAGUAUUGUAUGAUAGAUAUUCUAUAAAAUUAGAUAAAUGGGAUUGCAUUUUUUAGAUUAAAAAAGAGCGUCUAGUUUACUCAAUUUAUUCAUAUCCGUAAUGUUGGGUGGGGAAUUUUACAUUAAGCUGACCUUCCUACAAACAUUAGAUGGUCAAAUUUUAUUUAAUGGUUACAAUGACUUAAGUGUUAUUAAUUUUUUGAUUGUAUUAUUAUAUCAUGAUUUUUUCAUAAAAACGUGAAAAAACUGGCUCCUUUCCUUAAGAAUAAAUAGUGCUUAUUACAAUG
rnacentral:sRNA from 1 species